rnacentral:rRNA from 1 species
GUGUCAGCAGCCGCGGUAAUACGGAGUGUGCAAGCGUUACUCGGAAUCACUGGGCAUAAAGGGCGCGUAGGCGGGUUUCCAAGUCGGUUGUGAAAUCCCUCAGCUCAACUGAGGAACUGCAUCCGAUACUGUUUGUCUUGAGGACGGGAGGGGAGAGUGGAACUUCUGGUGAAGCGGUGAAAUGCGUAGAUAUCAGAAGGAACGCCGGUGGCGAAAGCGACUCUCUGGCCCGUAUCUGACGCUGAAGCGCGAAAGCUUGGGUAGCAAACGGGAUUAGAAACCCUCGUAGUCC